GACGAACGCUGGCGGCGUGCUUAACACAUGCAAGUCGAACGGAAAGGCCCUGCUUUUGUGGGGUGCUCGAGUGGCGAACGGGUGAGUAACACGUGAGUAACCUGCCCUUGACUUUGGGAUAACUUCAGGAAACUGGGGCUAAUACCGGAUAGGAGCUCCUGCUGCAUGGUGGGGGUUGGAAAGUUUCGGCGGUUGGGGAUAGACUCGCGGCUUAUCAGCUUGUUGGUGGGGUAGUGGCUUACCAAGGCUUUGACGGGUAGCCGGCAUGAGAGGGUGACCGGCCACAUUGGGACUGAGAUACGGCCCAGACUCCUACGGGAGGCAGCAGUGGGGAAUAUUGCACAAUGGGCGGAAGCCUGAUGCAGCAACGCCGCGUGCGGGAUGACGGCCUUCGGGUUGUAAACCGCUUUCGCCUGUGACGAAGCGUGAGUGACGGUAAUGGGUAAAGAAGCACCGGCUAACUACGUGCCAGCAGCCGCGGUGAUACGUAGGGUGCGAGCGUUGUCCGGAUUUAUUGGGCGUAAAGGGCUCGUAGGUGGUUGAUCGCGUCGGAAGUGUAAUCUUGGGGCUUAACCCUGAGCGUGCUUUCGAUACGGGUUGACUUGAGGAAGGUAGGGGAGAAUGGAAUUCCUGGUGGAGCGGUGGAAUGCGCAGAUAUCAGGAGGAACACCAGUGGCGAAGGCGGUUCUCUGGGCCUUUCCUGACGCUGAGGAGCGAAAGCGUGGGGAGCGAACAGGCUUAGAUACCCUGGUAGUCCACGCUGUAAACGGUGGGUACUAGGUGUGGGGUCCAUUCCACGGGUUCCGUGCCGUAGCUAACGCUUUAAGUACCCCGCCUGGGGAGUACGGCCGCAAGGCUAAAACUCAAAGGAAUUGACGGGGCCCCGCACAAGCGGCGGAGCAUGCGGAUUAAUUCGAUGCAACGCGUAGAACCUUACCUGGGUUUGACAUGGAUCGGGAGCGCUCAGAGAUGGGUGUGCCUCUUUUGGGGUCGGUUCACAGGUGGUGCAUGGCUGUCGUCAGCUCGUGUCGUGAGAUGUUGGGUUAAGUCCCGCAACGAGCGCAACCCUUGUUCACUGUUGCCAGCACGUUAUGGUGGGGACUCAGUGGAGACCGCCGGGGUCAACUCGGAGGAAGGUGGGGAUGACGUCAAGUCAUCAUGCCCCUUAUGUCCAGGGCUUCACGCAUGCUACAAUGGCUGGUACAGAGAGUGGCGAGCCUGUGAGGGUGAGCGAAUCUCGGAAAGCCGGUCUCAGUUCGGAUUGGGGUCUGCAACUCGACCUCAUGAAGUCGGAGUCGCUAGUAAUCGCAGAUCAGCAACGCUGCGGUGAAUACGUUCCCGGGGCU
rnacentral:rRNA from 1 species